rnacentral:rRNA from 1 species
GACGAACGCUGGCGGCGUGCUUAACACGUGCAAGUCGAACGGAAAGGCCCUGCUUGCAGGGUACUCGAGUGGCGAACGGGUGAGUAACACGUGGGUGAUCUGCCCUGCACUUCGGGAUAAGCUUGGGAAACUGGGUCUAAUACCGGAUAGGAACCAUCUUUAGUGUGGGGGUUGGAAAGAUUUUUCGGUGUAGGAUGAGCUCGCGGCCUAUCAGCUUGUUGGUGGGGUAAUGGCCUACCAAGGCGGCGACGGGUAGCCGGCCUGAGAGGGUGUACGGCCACAUUGGGACUGAGAGACGGCCCAGACUCCUACGGGAGGCAGCAGUGGGGAAUAUUGCACAAUGGGCGCAAGCCUGAUGCAGCGACGCCGCGUGGGGGAUGAAGGCCUUCGGGUUGUAAACUCCUUUCGCUAGGGACGAAGCUUUGUUGUGACGGUACCUAGAUAAGAAGCACCGGCUAACUACGUG